CAUUUUCUAGGAUGAACCACCACCUAAGAGAAGAAGAACAGCUGAAGAUUUUUUCUCAUUUUGUCAGUUUAUUUUAGAAUAUGAAAACUAUGAGGCCAUAAAGCAAGAGGAACUCUAUCAGAAAACUGCCAGCCCUUCAGAAAGUUCGGAUAGUACACCGGACAGUUUCUCUUCAGAUAGUAACUGCAGUAGCAGUUCUCUAGAAAACAUAAAAUCUACAGAUGUUGAGUCAGAUGAUGACUCUUGGGACAUGAUUACGUGUUUUUGUAUGAAGCCAUUUGCUGGAAGGCCCAUGAUCGAAUGUUCUCAAUGUCUUACGUGGGUGCACCUGUCCUGUGCCAAAAUUCGUCGAAACAACAUCCCAGAUGAAUUCACUUGUUAUCAUUGCAAGCAGACUACCAACUCUAGGAGGAGGAGGUCACAGAGAGUAAGAGAUGAGAGAAGGCUAAGUGCGUAACAACUGUUGUCUUUCCUUGAUCUCAACAUACUGCCUUGUUUUGUAAAUAUUGUUGUACAGAGCUCUUACAGCAUUCACCACCAGUGUCCCACAUCCAUAAUGGAUGAACUCGAUAACAUUUUAUUUUAUUAAGUUUAAUGAACUCAAGACACCAUUGAUCACCAGUGUCCCAUAUCUCCUAUAAUGGAUGAAUUUUAUAGCAUUUUUUUUGUUAAGUUAAAUGAACUCUGUGUCCCACGUUUACCAUAAUGAAUGAACUAUAUAGCAUUUUGUUUUAAGUUUGGUGAACUCUAUGGACAACAUUCACCACCAGUGUCCCACAUUUCCUAUAAUGAACUUCAUAGCAUUUUGUUUUAUUAAGUUUAAUGAACUCUGAGGACAAUAUUCAUCACCAUUGUCCCACAUUUCAUAUAAUGAAUAAACUUUAUAGCAUUUUGUUUUAUUAAAUUUAAUGAACUCUGUGGACAAAAUUCACCACCAGUGUUUCAUGUUUACUAUAAUGAGUGAACUUUAUAGCAUUUUGUUUUAUUAAGUUUAAUGAACUCUGUGGACAAAAUUCACCACUAGUGUUUCAUGUUUACUAUAAUGAAUGAACUUUAUAGUGUUUUGUUUUAUUAAGUUUAAUGAACUCUGUGGACAAAAUUCACCACCAGUGUUUCAUGUUUACUAUAAUGAAUGAACUUUAUAGUAUUUUGUUUUAUUAAGUUUAAUGAACUCUGUGGACAACAUUCACCAUCAGUGUCCCACAUUUCCUAUAAUGAAUGAACUUUAUAACAUUUUGUUUUGUUAAAUUAACUGUGGACAACAUUCACCACUAGUGUCCCACAUUUGCUAUAAUGAACUUUAUAGCAUUUCAUUUUAAAUUUAAUGAACUCUAUGAAACUGCUAGACAUAGAUCAUUAAUUAUGAGAGGAAAGAUCAGAAUGUCAUCUGUUGCAGAACUGUAAUUGAUAGGUGAUAGGAAUGUCAUCUGUUGCAGAACUGUAAUUGAUAGGUGAUAGGAAUGUCAUCUGUUGUGGAACUGCAGUUGAUGGGUUUUGGAAUAAUUUUCAAAUGAACUAUUCCAAAACAUACCACCAAUGGCACUAUAGUUAUUUCUUGAUCACCAGGGUUUCCACUCUUUACCCAUCUAAGCAUUAAAACUGCUUGCACCAGUCUUUUAUACCCCACUCGAUUGCCCUUAGCAAAUUCUAAUUUGCAAAAUUCUCCACAAACUUCAAUGCAUCCUCUAUCUAGGUACUGUAUAUAAGCACCUCAUUUAGAUAAUGUAAUCAAUCAAAGCAUUAUUCACAAGUUAUGUUGCAACUUUGAACGUGAUUGGCAGUAGUAUGGUUAUAUCUUUGUUUAUACUUAUAAAUUACUUGAACAACAACAACAGAAACCAAAAAAAAAAGUAUUGAGGGGUAUGAAUUUCUGAGAUAAUGGAUCAGACUCUUUAUCAUUCCACAUUUGUUCUGCUUUACCCCAAUAGGUCUUUUCUUCCAAAGAUUCUAGCAUCUAGGGAAGGGGAAAGAUCCUUCUCACCAAUCCAUUUCUCACCUUUACGACUGCUCCGAUCCUGAUCGUUUGAUAUGUUCUGUUAGGACCCUCAACAGUUAUGUGGCUCAUACUAACUCAUUUCGAGGUAGUAGGAAUUGAUUGUUCAUCCAUUAGAAUCCUUCUAUUUCCUGUGACUUAUCUCCCAUUACCCUAACAAGAUGGCUUCGUAAAUUGAUUCACAUGUCCUAUAAUGGAUUAUCGUUGCAGGAGAGGAAUCUUUUGUGUGUCACAUCACACCAGAUUUGUCAUAUCUCUAUAUCAUUAGCUGCUCGGGUGAAUUGCCUUCUGGAAUACAUUGUGCCAACUGGUAUAUGAACUACUCCUAAUACUUUCCUAUCUCCUUACCUACAGUGCUUCCAGAGCACUGUUUCUCAGGACUCCCCAGACUCUACUAGUGUAGCUUGAGAGUUCUUAACACCCCCAGUUUCCAGUUGCUGGGGUGGCUGACAGAGGCUUUUCCUCCAGAGUGUUCAAGUAUGUUCCUCCACUCUUGGUAAAGAGGGCAAAGUUGGGGGCCCUCCUACUUGAGUCCCUGGAUGUUUUUCCCAGAUGUCAGUAGGAGUGGCACCAACCUCUGUGGGAGCCUACUCCCAAUUCUGGUUCAGAUUUGACACAAAGCUAUCUGGUUGGGGUGUGCAUGGCCAUUUUCUUUGAUCAAUGUCAGUUUCGUAUAUUGUUCAUGGAAGGAGAUACACAGUCUCUUCAUAAUUCCAAACACAAAGUGGUUCCAUCAUAGGUCGUUGGUUGAGUACAGGUUCCACGUCCUCUCCAUAAUUCCAGGGGCAACCAAAAUACUCCAUGCCCACUUGGUUGGGGAGUGAGGAUGAAUGUUCAUAGUUCCAGACUGGAUGAGUUUUGUUACUUUGGUUGAGUACAGCAUACAAUCCCAUCAUUCCAAGCCUGGGGUGUUGCCUUUUGGACUUUUUCAGGUGGAGGAGAAAGUUUGUCCACCUUGGUGUUGCUUACUUUCUUGUCUUGAUUCCGGUGGUGUGAAAUGCAUCACUCAAUGAUUACAGGUUGGGAUCCAAUCAGAAGUGUGUGUGUGUGUGUGUAUAUAUAUAUAUAAUAACAUUGUGGUCCAAUAGUCCUAGCCACCAAUGUGUGCUAUAGGUACCACAACCCCUUAAAUAUAACCCUGAAUUGUGGAAACUCAGCUAUCUGGUUGAGAUGGCCUAUUACUGAUGAUUACUCGUAUUCUAUUCCACCUUUGGUAUAGGAAGUGAGUUCCAGAUGAAGAGCAUACCUGAUGUAGUGCGGUUCUCCUGCUUUUGUACCAUUUUUAUCUUGGUACACUCCUGUUCUAUACAGAUGCUUUUUGUAUGGUUCAUAUCUGCACUGGCCCCUCCACCUUCUUAAUGUGGGAUUCUAGCUAUAGUGUUAGUGGAGGUAAGAAUGUUUUGGAAGUUAACAUUUUCCUAAACUUAAAAUGUAUUCCCAAUAAUACACUCUCCCACCCUACCUCCCCACUAAAAGCUGGUUUAUGUCUCCAAAAAGUGAUUACAUUAUCUGAAUGAGGUGCUUAUAUACAGUACCUAGAUAGAGGGCACAUUGAAGUUGAUGGAGAAUUUUGCAAGGGCAUUUGAGUGGGGUAUAAAAGACUAGAGCAAGUGUUUUCAAUGUUUAGAUGGAAACCCUGGAGAUUGAGAAAUAGUUAUAGUGUCAGUGCAAGUAAAUAUUACUGGAAAUACAUUUUCAGUUUAGGAGAAUAUUAACUUACUCAAUUGAUAAAAUUGAAGUAAAAGAUAUACCACAUUCAUUUGAUAUAUAAACAAACACUUCAAUUGUUUAUUAAAUGAUAAAGUUAGUCAUUG